AUCUCCCGGAUUGCAGCCUGACAACAGGCUGAUGGCUGGUGGCUUAAUGGUCACCAGCCU
rnacentral:sRNA from 1 species